GCUCGUAGUUGGAUUUCUGUUGCGAACGGCCGGUCCGUACUUUGUGCGUGUAUCUGGUUCGGUCGCGGCAUCCUCUCGGGGAACGUUAUCUGCGCUUCAUUGCGCGGUGCGGUAUUCGAGACUUUUACUUUGAGGAAAUUAGAGUGUUCACGGCAGGCAAUCGCCUUGAAUAUAUUAGCAUGGAAUAAUAAUAUAGGAUCUUGGGUCUAUUUUGUUGGUUUCUAGAACUAAGAUAAUGAUUAAUAGGGAUAAUUGGGGGCAUUCGUAUUAACGCGUCAGAGGUGGAAUUCUUGGAUUGCGUUACGACGAACUACUGCGAAAGCAUUUGCCAAGGAUGUUUUCAUUGAUCAAGAACGAAAGUGAGGGGAUCGAAGACGAUUAGAUACCGUCGUAGUCUUCACCAUAAACUAUGCCAACUAGAGAUUGGAGGUCGUUCUUUUAUGACUCCUUCAGCACCUUAUGAGAAAUCAAAGUCUUUGGGUUCCGGGGGGAGUAUGGUCGCAAGGCUGAAACUUAAAGGAAUUGACGGAAGGGCACCACCAGGAGUGGAGCCUGCGGCUUAAUUUGACUCAACACGGGAAAACUUACCAGGUCCAGAC
rnacentral:rRNA from 1 species